rnacentral:rRNA from 1 species
UUCGUAGGCGGUGUGGCAAGUCGGGAGUGAAAUCUCUGGGCUUAACUCAGAGGCUGCUUCCGAAACUGCCGUGCUUGAGUGUGAGAGAGGCUCGUGGAAUUGCAGGUGUAGCGGUGAAAUGCGUAGAUAUCUGCAGGAACACCCGUGGCGAAAGCGGCGAGCUGGAUCACUACUGACGCUGAGGAACGAAAGCUAGGGGAGCAAACAGGAUUAGAUACCCUGGUAGUCCUAGCCCUAAACGAUCAGGACUUGGGGUGCCGCCCGUUCGGGCGUCGUCCCGGAGCUAACGCGUUAAGUCCUGCACCUGGGGAGUACGGUCGCAAGACUGAA